rnacentral:rRNA from 1 species
AUGGAGCUACGGCGGAUCGAGGACCGGACGAGCCGGCAGGUGCGCUUCUCCAAGCGCCGCUCGGGGCUCUUCAAGAAGGCCUUCGAGCUCGCGGUCCUCUGCGACGUCGAGGUCCGCGCUGCUCGCCUUCUCCCCCGCCGGCAGGCUCUACGAGUACGCAUCCUCCAGUCUAUGUGCAGUGCGUGUAUUUGGUUCAGGCAAAGCUCUGUUGCUGAGGCCACACCCUUCCCCAGUUAUUGGGUAUGA